rnacentral:misc_RNA from 1 species
ACUGAGAUGCCCGUCAUGGUUCAGGUAUUUCUGGUUUGCGUUUGUUCUCGUCGAAUGCAUAUGGACACGCACUUUCAUGCUGCUUAUGUAUGCGUGCAGUGUAUUGGGAAAAGCGUUUAAAUAUCAUGUAGAUGCUUUUGACUCGGAGAGUUGGAAUUCAUUUAUGCCGUGUGUUGCCUGGGGGAAGUUAUCUAUUGGGUGUAUGUCACCAAAAGAGUGUCUUUUGGUGGAAGUGGGAGAUUAUGCAUAUACACUUAGCGAUAUGAAUAUGAUAAUUAGUGCAUUGCGAAUGAAGUGUUCUCAUAAUGCGUGCUAAUGAGAAAGUGGUUAGCUUUGAUGGUGAAAAUAUGGGAUGCCAUUCUUUUGCAGAUACAGGAAUUGGUCCGAGGA